CCUACGGGCGGCAGCAGUGAGGAAUAUUGGUCAAUGGACGAGAGUCUGAACCAGCCAAGUAGCGUGAAGGAUGACUGCCCUAUGGGUUGUAAACUUCUUUUAUAUGGGAAUAAAAUGUUCCACGUGUGGGAUUUUGUAUGUACCAUAUGAAUAAGGAUCGGCUAACUCCGUGCCAGCAGCCGCGGUAAUACGGAGGAUCCGAGCGUUAUCCGGAUUUAUUGGGUUUAAAGGGAGCGUAGGUGGAUGGUUAAGUCAGUUGUGAAAGUUUGCGGCUCAACCGUAAAAUUGCAGUUGAAACUGGCAGUCUUGAGUACAGUAGAGGUGGGCGGAAUUCGUGGUGUAGCGGUGAAAUGCUUAGAUAUCACGAAGAACUCCGAUUGCGAAGGCAGUUCACUGGACUUCAACUGACACUGAGGCUCGAAAGUGUGGGUAUCAAACAGGAUUAGAUACCCUUGUAGUC
rnacentral:rRNA from 1 species